rnacentral:tRNA from 1 species
GCGCCCAUAGCUCAGCUGGACAGAGCAUUGGUCUACGGAACCAGAGGUCGGAAGUUCGAAUCUUCCUGGGCGCG